rnacentral:rRNA from 1 species
AAACCUGAGAAACCCAAAAGAUCGAAUGGGGAGAUUCAUCGUCAGCGGCCUCGGCUUCCGUGUGGACUGCGAUGUCCGGGACUUCGGUCUCGUGUCACGCGUUCGCUGCGGUAUGUCCGGCGUCGUCGGCGUGCACUUCUCCCCUAGUAGGACGUCGCGACCCGUUGGGUGCCGGCCUACGGCCCGGUUGGUCGACUGUCGCGUCGCGUUCACGCGUGCACGCGGCAGACCACCGGUCGCCCGGCCGGCUGCCCGGCGGUAUAGAUCGCUAUAAAACGGUAUUGGGCCGCAUUAAGUGCGUUCUGGCCCGUCGGCAGACACGUCUCGCUCGGAUUUACGGACCUAGCGCCGUUGCCGGGUGCUUGGCGUGUUGUUAGUCGACGGUGUCCUCGGACUGGCUCUUACAUUCGAACGAAUUUACCGGUCGGCGACGCUACUGCUUUGGGUACUUU